UCGAUAUUUCGUAUACUUGUCCCUAGAAUACACAGACUUGUCCAACUUGUCUGUCCAGACAAGUCCAGAUUGUUAUAUUUUUCACAGUUGUGGUCAUUGUGAAGGAAUGUAUGAUCAAGAAGAGUGGGGAAAAGCAAACUCCUUUCUAAUCUUGGAGGAUGGAGAAGAGAAGAGAAACAGGAAAUGAGAUGGGAGGAGGAAAGACGUCAGGCAAGGAGGUGUCUCCAUGUCUCUUCCUGAGACUCCAGCCCACGUAAAGGACCAAAUUAAAUAAAACGCCUUAUUGAUCUGGAUUGAAUUUCAAUUUGCUAAGGUUGGUGCCAGCCAACUCCUGUCCUGCAAUGUCUGAAUAGAAAUGCUUGCAAGUCCAAUAACCUAUUCAUCACAGGGGGUGUCUCAACCCCAAUCUUGUCCUCCGAAUCAGUAGUACAGUGCCUCAAAAAGCCCUCAGAACCACGUCUGCCUGCCAAGGCAAAAGCAGAUACAAGAGAAGAGAAGUCACAUGGCGUUAUCUCCAGAAGACUCUGCUUAUCUUGAAUACUUGAAAAACAGAAUGAGUCUUGAUGAGGAAGAAUUACAGUCUUAGCAUAUUCAGGACGCCCUGGCUACCUCAGUAAGGCAUGUUGAAUAGGGCAUCUGGU